GGGUGUUUACGAUAUGUGUGGACGCCCCCUAGCUUGACAUAUGGGUCUCUCCCGAGAGCACAUUCAGGAUGAGCAUCGAAGUCGCAUUCCUCACAACGGUAGAACCAGAGCUUUGGGUCUCUAUCUUUUUCACAAAUUAUACAGGAAGGUUGGUAGUCAUUUUCAUUAAUGUAGGUGAGGAAGAGAGGAUGGUCAUCAUACUUGUGUCUUGCUUUGUAUGGCACUGUAGCACAUUUCAUACCCAGCUUGAAAUCGCAAACCGCACAUUUAAAAAAUACCUUUGAUUCUUCACUGACACAACAGCCACUGCAAUGGGGAAUAAUCUCUGUGUCAUCUGCAAGCAAAGGGGGAAGCCCGUAACCUCCAAUACGGCAACGGAGAAUACUCUUUCUGUCCGUUGGAAGAUUAAGGGGAUGCUCAUGACCUCCAUGUUUAAAAGAAUCUUUCAAUGAUUUGAAGCAUCGGACAUCAAUCCGGAGUGCACAUACAUUACAUUUGUACCUGAGCCCAUGAGAAGUUUGAUUACACACAUCACAGUAGAACAGCUCAUAUGGCCCUCGGCUCCGUGAAAGAAUCAGUUGGUUUUCGUGAUAUUGCCACUUUUUUCGCCUGGGUAAUUCCAUGCAGGUUUUGUCAAGAAAGAAAUUACAACUGGCACAACUAUAAAAUGGAGUUGAGAUUGGUAACAUGCACCCAUCACACUUUAGAUCAUCAUCAACCUUGUCAAUAAGGAUUAGGUUAUGUUGAUGACUGAAAUGCUCGAUCUCUUCAAUUAUUCUCUCCUCUCCAUGCUUGAUCUCACGGACAACGCGAAAGCUAGGUUCCAUGAAUUGAUCAUCAACAGUCACACUUUGCUCUUCUUCGUUUUCUCCUCCAGUCUCUGUUGCCGAAUCGCCAUAUUCUCUGCUACAAUUCACGUGUGCAACAAAGUCACAGUCUGGGCAGUAGUAAACUCCGUAUUCUGUGUCAACUUCCCGACAGCAAAUUCCACAGUACUUGUUUAUAGAUUCGAUGCAUUGUUGAGGAUGAUAGGUGUGGAUGAUUCGGGGAUGAUGGUGCAGUGCUGUUUUAAGGGUGCCUGGCAAUGAAAUGCAUUCUUCGUGGACCACGAGUUGGCACAUGGUGCACAUGAAUGGGGAGCCAUAUCCAUCCGUGCCGCAUGCAUUGCAAGUGAAGGAGAUUGAUUUGAAUGAACGUGGAUUCAGCAGGCUUCUAAAUUGAUGCCCCUGAUCCUGAUCAGCUGCAUAAACGCACGGUGGAAAAGCACAUUUGAUAUGGAGGUUGAAUUCGCACACAAAACAGCAGUAAGCAAAACUCUCAUAGCAAGUUUCUUUGCAAAAACUACAGAUCAUGUGAUGAUUUGGCAGUAGACGAAGAGGGUGUUCUGGAUGAAUGUGCCUCUUGAUCUCUGGGGGUAGCUCAGCACACUUCUUGUGAAGAAAGACGUUGCAAGAAGUGCAACUAUAGCUAGGACCAGACAUUGGUUCCUUGCACACAGAGCACACAACUCCUUCACCAUGAUAUUCUUUCUCUUCAUUCAAAACCAAUGGAUGAUCCUUGUGGGCAAAUUGAUGUGCCUGACUAUCGACUUCCAAAAAACCCGGUUGAAAAGCACAUUUGAUAUCAAGAUCAAAUUCACAGAAAGAACAAUGGUAAAUAAAACUCUUCCAAGUUUUGUUGCACCGAUUACAAUAGCAUUCUAUUUUAUAUGGUGGCUUUGCCAGUAGAUGGAGAGGGUGUCUACGAUGAAUGCGCCGCUUGAUCUCACGGGGCAGCUCGGCGCAUUUCUUAUGAAGAAAGAAGUAGCAAGAGGUGCAACUGUAGCAAGAACCCCAUAUUGGUCCCUCGCAUCCAGAGCACAUUACUAGUUCACAACUAUAUUCGAGAAUUUGAUUAAUGAGGAUCAAUGGAUGAUACGGGUGGCUAAAAUGUUCAACCUCCAUGCCUCUGGCUCUCUCAGAGGACAGAGCAGGAAAUGAGGGGUGUUGAGCCAAGGCAAGACUUAGGAGGCCAAAUUGAAGCUGCGGAAUGUAUAUGUUAUCGAAAUGGAAAGGCAAAUAAAAGUUGAGUGCUACUAGUAUUCAAUACCUCGCCUUCUGAACUGAAACUUGACCUCUUCACCGACGACGGCUAAUUAAAUAAUUACAGCUGCUUACUGCUACAUUACAGAUCAACCAACGAGAUCCAGAACACAGUGAUUUCCCAUUAAGAUCGGAUACCAAUCAAUUCCUGGGGAAGCAUUUUUCUUCCCUCUUCCCCUUUAUCAAAGAUUAUGGGACAGAGAACCGAAACGAAAAAUAAUUCAAAGGACCCAAUAUUCAAAGAAACCCAAAAAGGAAGGAAGGGUGUUACCCGUAAGGAAGAGGCGGGUAGAAGAUCACGAGGAAAGCUACAGGCUCCUCUAUUUGUGCGUAUGUGAAUAAGGGUCUUUUCUUGUUAGAGAAGAAGACUAGUUGACUUUUGCUGGGUUUCCUCAACUUCCUUCCUAUAUUACUCGUUUGCCUAUGGAUGCAAGUAUUUUAAAAAUAAUAUUUUAAAAAAAUAAAAAAUUAUUUUAAUAUAUUUUAGAGUAAAAACAAUUUAAACAAACUUGUAUUCCAUGUAAAUUGAAAGAUGAUUAAAAGAAAAGUAUAUCAACUUUACCAAAUUAUACAAAUCAAUAUAGAUAUUAAUUAAAAUAAAUUAUGAUAUUUAUCAACUUUUGUUUCUUGUUUGAUUUUGAGCAGGUGGUCUACAUCUUAACUGGUGUAUUUACAAUUAAUUAUUUUUCUUACGAGCUUAACUAAAAUUAAGUCAUCAUAUUUUUAGAUAUUUCUCGAUUGAAUCCUCUAUCCAUUUCCGUCAACUUUCUUUUUUUGUGGAAUUAAAAAGGAAACCAGAACCACCCACGAGAUACCAAAAUCAAAACUUCAACUGGGCUCUCAAGGGAGCACUGUACACGAAGGCGGCUGUGAAAGAACAAAGGAGAUUGAAAGGACAUGGUUUAAGCUUCUUAAUUAUUUUGCUGGUGGCAUGAUAAAUAACAAAUGAGAUUGAAGCUAUGUUUGUUUUUUUGAAAAGUAAUUUUUAAAUAAUUAUUUUUUAAAUUUUUUUGUGUUUAUUUAUUAUUAGAAAAGUUGAUCAACGAAAAAUAUUUUACAGUUAAAAAAAAAUUUGACUUAGUUUGGGUGGAAAACACUUUCUGAAAGUUAUGAAAAAUUUAGAAAUGUCAUAUUAUUUGCUGAUUAUAUCAAAUUUGGUCCUCAAACUUUUGAUUGCUAUAUAUAUUUUGUUUUGAAUAUUUAUUUUUCAAUUUCAUCUCUUAAAAUUUAAUUUUUAUAUUAUCUUUGGUUUUUAUUUUUAUAAUUGUUAUUUGCUUUUCGCUUAUCAUUUUUUUAUUAAAAUUUUUUAUUUAUCAAAUUUGAUCCUCAUUCUUUUGACUGUUAGUUAUUUUAUUUGAAAUAAUUUAUGAAAUGUUAAUUAUUAUUAUUUUAAUUUUUUUAUUUUUUAUUUUUUUAUUUUUUAGAUUUGAUCUCUAUUAUUUUGAUUAUUAUUUAUUUUAUUUGAGAUAAUUUAUGAAAUUAUAUAUUUUUUUCAAUUUUAUUCUCAUUCAAAUUUUUAAUUUGUAAAAUUUAUUCCUCAUUAUUUUAAUAAACUUGAGAAAAAUAAAAUAUUAAUAAGUUAUUUUCCAGCUUAUUUUUCAUGACAUAAUCAAAUACUGGAAAGUGUUUUCCUAUUUAUUUUUUAUUAUACUACCAGAUAUUAGAAAAUAAUUUAUUUUUCUGAAAUUCACUUUUUCAAAUUUAUUUUUUUUAAAAAAAUUAUUUUUUAACAAAUAAACAGUGCUGAAAGAAUUUAUGAUGUACAUGAGCAUAUGCGCAAGGGAAUAACAUCAGUUUGGUUCUCUGCUCGGAUUUGAAAUGGGCCUCAAGAGAUGAACGAGGAAUUCUUAUGAUAAAAAUACUUAUUCUAUUUGAAGGUGGGUUGUGAUCCAAUUGGGCUUGGCAUCAUCAAGCAAACCAAUCAUCGGCCUGAAAACAUUGAAGCAGCAUUAGACUUGACGUAUGCAAGAGAUGACAGAAAAUAAAUCGCAAAUACAAUGUUGGCGUCAAAUUAAUUUUUUUUUAAUAAAAAAAAUAUUCAAAUAUUAUUAAUAUUUUUUCUUGUAAAAAAUUAAAUUGUAUGAGAUUUUAUCUGAUAUGAUCUGAUUAACUUAACGAGUCUAAAAAUAACUUAAAUAAUUGAUAAACAUAUAAUUUGAUUUAAAAACAAAAAAAACAUCAUCUUUUUUAAUUUUUUAAAAUAAAAAAAAUAUUUUGAAAAAUAAAUACUACCAUACUUCUAAGCUUUCUUUACAAUAGAGGUAUCUAAAUGUUAAAAAUUUAAUGAUAAAAUCCUUUAAUUAUUAAAAUCACAAAUCAAUAAUUACAUGUAUAUAUAAUUAACAAAUUUUUGCUAAAUCUUAAAUAGGUCUUUCUUCUAUCAUAUCGUACUAUUUAAAUUAACAAAUUUAUAAAUGUUAACUAUAUUUUAUAGUUUAUUUUUUAUAAUCAAACGGUUUUACUCUUGAUAACCUAGAAAUGUGAAACAAAUACAUAUUUAACUAAAAUUGUGAUAUUUCAUUUAAAUUAACUAAAAUAUUUUAAGCAAAUUACACAUGUACUGCCUCUUAUUUAAUAACUUGACUAAAAAUUAAAGGCAUAAUUAUACUUUGGUUAGGUGCUGAAUCUAAAAGGAAAUAGUUGUUGGGGAUUUCGGCUCCCCCAUGCGCGGACCGGUGGUGUACUGAUAGUUGCUCUAAGGAGAGGUAAGCACACUGACACAAUAUUUUACGUGGUUCGGCAAAACCGCCUACAUCCACGGGAGAGAGUCAUUGUAUUAGAUAUAGAGAAAGGGUUACAAUAAAUACUUGUAGAGGAGGAGGAUUACAUCCACUCUACUCAACUCAUCAACUCUCAUUGCUGCUCUUGCAGCUGCUGCAAUGGCAGCAAGGCUGCUACCAUUACAGCCCUUCACUUUCUCUCUAUACUCUUCACAUUCUCACCCCUCUCUUACAUUUUGCUCUCUCACGUAUGCCUAUAAAUAGGCAAGUAUGAUGGCUUCUCUUCUUCAACAACAGCAGCUGCAUAUGGGUUGAUACAUUUGUAAAUGGUGGGUGCAACUACCAUUGACAAAUGGUAACCCUACUCCUUAGGGUAGGUUGCCCAAUAAUGGCAAAUCCCAACAAUCACCCCCUUUGACAUUUAUAUGGGCAAUUGUCCUCUUGCUUCUUCAGCACAAACUUGUAUCUUGCAGCUCUUCCAAGCUUACCAUUCCGAGAGCGUCUGUGGCCAAGUUUACAGGUACUCGCCAAACCUUUCAAUCAUCAGAGUUACCAAAGCACACCUUUUCUCACACAAAAAGGAUCACUACAACCAGAUGGUCUGCCACUUCACAUCUGAAGAGUGUUAACGCUUGUCUCUGGCACACACUGCAUUCCCCUUCGAGCGUAUCAACCAUGCUCGGUCCGGAAUGAUUAAUCAAGCCUUACACCAAGGCUUACAACACCCCCUCAAACGGAAAUUUCUUUUUCCAAGUGCGACAGUCAUUAUCUAAGUAUCUCAAUAUGAUCACGAGCUCACCACUCUUCCAAGAGUCUACUCAUCCAGGAGUUGCGUCUGCCCUCUGUUCCACCCUAGAAACCACGCCUUACUUCUCCGUGAGUCUCUCACUCUUAGUCGUAAGAGUCCAGGUAGCUCUCCACCUUUAACCAUGGGGGCAGCCCAUUAAAGGUUGAUCCAUAUAUGUCUUGAUACUGAGUAUUACAAUGCAUUCACUGAGCUCACCACCUUGACAAGAGUCAACUUGUUCCGGGAACCUGCGCAUGCCCUCUGCUCCUUCAUAGCAGCCGCGUCUUAAUGCUCCACAAGUCACACACUUAUUGUUCAAGACAAAUGUCUUCUAGCUCAUUGAUCUUUAGCAUGGGGGCAAUAUCCAUGAAAGUCAAUCCUACAUUUGUCUCCAUACUCAUCAUAGCCACUUCAUUGGCUAUCCAUCUGUCCACUCAUAUCCAGCCAUCACAUUGGCUCUGGGGCGUUCUAAACUGGGCUCAUAUCGUGGCCCACACACCUUCUCCUUAGGUGUCUUCGCUCGUCGUCAUGCGGCGAUCUGAAAUGGGGCUCCUAUCGCGGCCCUCACACCUUCUCUAAGGCGUCUUCGCCCGUUGUCAUGGGGCGGUCUGAUCUUGGGCUCAUAUCAAGGCCCUCACACCUUCUCUAAGGUGUCUUCGCCCAUUGUCAUAGGGCGGUCUGAUCCGGGGCUCCUAGCACGGCCCACACACACACCUUCCAUCUAAGGUGUCUUCACCUUUCAUAGGUGGUCGCAUCCUCCUUCAGCUGAGAUGCUUCAAAGUGGCUCCAAAAGUCUCUACCACCAUAUGCACUAUGGGAGAGAUUACUGCCACUGACUACAUAGAAAGAGAAAGUUGCGGUAUACUCCUCGCAAUCCUCCACCUCGAUUUCUAUGUUUGGAGCUUCUACGCCUUUCUGCUUGACAGCUCCACCUACACCAACUCUCUUUGGUGUCUUCGCCUUUCAUCAUAGGCGGUCGCCUUUUAUCACAGGCGUUUGCACCCCCUCAAUUAGGUGCCUCUGCAACAGCUCUCUUUCCAUCCUUGCAUGCAUUGGAAAGGUCUUCGCCUGUUGUCUUCAUCAAGAACAUAAGAGACUUCCUGUUGUACAAACUUUACCAGUCUCUGCUCUGAGCUUCAUCUGGGAACACUUCUUCUCCUUGCACCUGUUGUCUCAUUACAGUACCUUGUUGGAUCCUAUGGGUACUCCUGCACAAUCUCCAUGUGCCCUCGUGCAAUUUCUGUUCUCCAGAUUUCUCCCUAUUCCUUGCUUAUGUUUGACAGCAGCUCAUCCUGUCACAACACCUGUCCAAGUCAAAAUAGGGUGCCAAUCUUUAUCUCUUGCUGUAUUUCUCUUCCAUUAUCAGGGUCUUCAUCAAUUCUUCCCUCAAGAAAUCACAGUCACCGAAUCUAACUUCUUUGGAGAAAUCACCACUUCAUCAAAUCCUUGAUCAUACGGAACCCAACUGUUCCCUUGUGUCGUCGUCCUGCUAGUCUUCAACUGUUUCAUUACAAACUGCUAUAUAUACGAAAAUAGUACCGUAUGGAUAAUCCUUCCACUAAGCAAGUUCCCAGGAAAGAUUGGAGGGGUCACACUGGUCCCGCUUAAAACCCAAUCUCUUAGACAGAACUUCUUAGGCCAUAUCUAUCCAUCGUACUGUCUUUCCGUAUAUACAACCAUUUGCUAGCUUUUAUGCGGCUUCCCUUUACAAGUGAUCUGGAAUAUAUUGGUUUAAUACAUGAUUUCUCAACAUUUGGCGAGACUACCAAUUCUUAGAUUCGUCAAGAUUGGUCUUUGUCAAUUUUCACUCUCCACCUCAAAUUGUCCACAUGAUCGGGUGUCCAGAGUGUCCCAAUUUUGCCUUCCUUCAAGGCAGCUAAAAUUCUCCCCACUUAGCAGUUCAGCACAUGUAAUUGGGUAAACAUGUGCACCUUCUUCUUGUUCAUCUCCAUCGACCACCAUGAUGACCUUCAGAUGCCUCCUGAUCGGGCAAUCUCUUUUGUUAAUUCACCACCAUCAUUUUGGUCUCAAAUCUCAAUGAUCAGACCAUACCAUUGCAUCCGGAACGAUCAAAUUAGCUGGAAACAAGUCUGAAAUCGUCUAAAUCGCAUUUCCGACGGCUAAGAUUUGAUCAAAACAAUUCUGGCCUGAUAAACGGCUCAGAUUCAAUCUCAGAUCCGGUUGCAUGUAGACUUUGCUGCACAGAAUCUUCUCCAUCGGCUCGCGGCUCGGCUCGGCUCAAAAACGGCUCGGCUCGGCUCAGCCCGGCUCGCGGCUGAUGACGUGGCAGGUGGCUCCCAUUAUGCUGACAUGUCUGCUGACUGGUCGAUGACGUGGUUGCUGACAUGGCAUGCCUACUGUGCAUGAUGACGUCACCCUUACAUCAGGCUGAUGGCAUCAUGGGCCAUGCUGCUGUACAUGAUGAUGUCACAAUUACAUCAUGCUAAUGUCAUCCCUGGCAUGUCUACUGUUCAUGCUGACGUCACUUUUAUGUCAUGCUGACGUCAUCCAUAUCUGGGUCAGUCACAUGGGUCGGGUCAACUGGUAUUCGGGUCGGGUCAACCCAUCCGGGUGAAGAAGACGCGUGGGGUGCGUGGGGCGCGUGGGCAAACGCCUUGCCGGAGAGUGCGGUCAUGUCCGACGUCCGAUUUUGACACCGUUUUCACCAGUGGCUUCGUCGCUUCUUCCUCUACACAGUGGUAUGGUCAAAACACAAUUUUGACAACUUUCAUUUUUGAGCAAAAAUCAAACACCCCUUUAAACCAUGUGCUCUGAUACCAAUUGAUAGGGAAUUUCGGCUCCCCAUGUGCGGACCGGUGGUGUACUGAUAGUUGCUCAAAUGGAGGGGUAAGCACACUGACACAAUAUUUUACGUGGUUCGGCAAAACCACCUACAUCCACGGGAGAGAGUCAUUGUAUUAGAGAUAGAGAAAGGGUUACAAUAAAUACUUGUAGAGGAGGAGGAUUACAUCCACUCUACUCAACUCAUCAACUCUCAUUGCUGCUCUUGCAGCUGCUGCAAUGGCAGCAAGGCUGCUGCCAUUGCAGCCCUUCACUUUCUCUCUAUACUCUUCACAUUCUCACCCCUCUCUUACAUUUUGCUCUCUCACGUAUGCCUAUAAAUAGGCAAGUAUGGUGGCUUCUCUUCUUCAACAACAGCAGCUGCACAUGGGUUGAUACAUUUGUAAAUGGUGGGUGCAACUACCAUUGACAAAUGGUAACCCUACUCCUUAGGGUAGGUUGCCCAAUAAUGGCAAAUCCCAACAAUAGUUUCAACAAGAUGCUAGGCUCAUUGUUUCUAGAUCUGGUUGUGUGUCAAAUCUAAUGGAACACAAGUCUGACAGCUGUCAGAUCCAAUGUUUUUAGGCUCCGACUACGUGUCGAGUCUAAGUGGAUAUUAUUUUGGCAAGAUAUCAAGCCCACCGCUCUUGGGCUAGGCACCGUGUCGAGCCCAGGUGGGUGUAGGUCUGGAGAGUUACCAGAUCUAGUGUCCUUGUUCUUAGUUAUAUGCUGAGCUCAGUUAGACAUGAAUCUAGCAAAUUAUCUCAAAUAUUUAAUAAGUGAUAAUUCAUUACAGCUAGUUAGAAUUAUGAAUGGAUGCAUCAUUAAAUUCAUAACAACGAGAGUUUUAAAAUAAGAUGUCACAAUAACUACUUCUAGUGAAAGAAAAAACUCUCGUAGGACAAUCAAAGUUGCUAGUUACUAUUCAUGUAUAAAGAUAAAUUUUAUUUGAUCUCUAAAUAUGCAAUUGCUUCAAAUGAGGUAUUGAACUUUGAUGCUAUUAUUUAAUUUGAUAAGUAUCGCAUGGAGGAUAAUCCUCUGUCUUGACGACCAAAGCAAGAGGGUGAGGGUGUUUUGGAUAUGUUCGAACCCGCCCUGCCUUGACAUAUGGGUAUUCCCGAGAGCACAUUUCUUGUGAAGAAAGAAGUUGCAAGAAGUGCAACUAUAGCUAGGACCCGACAUUGGUUGCUUGCAAACAGAGCACACAACUCCUUCACCAUGAUAUUCUUUCUCUUCAUUCAAAAUCAAUGGAUGAUCCUUGUGGGGAAAUUGACUAUCAACCUCAAAAAAACCCGGUUGAAAAGCACAUUUGAUAUCUAGAUCAAACUUACAGAAAGAACAAUGGUAAACAAAACUCUUGAAAGUUUUGGCGCACCGAUCACAUUCGUAUUCUCCUUCAUAUGGUGACUUUGCCAGUAGAUGGAGAGGGUGUCUAGGAUGAAUGCGCCGCUUGAUCUCACGGGGUAGCUCGGCGCAUUUCUUAUGAAGAAAGAAGUAGCAAGAGGUGCAACUGUAGCAAGGACCCCAUAUUUGUCCCUCGUAUCCAGAGCAAAUAACUAGUUCACAACUAUAUUCGAGAGCUUGAUUAAUGAGGAUCAAUGGAUGAUCUGGGUGGCUAAAAUGUUCGACCUCCAUGUCUCUGGCUCUGCAGAAGACAGAGCAGGAAAUGAGAUCCAGAACAGAAUACAGUGAUUUCCCAUUAAGAUAGGAUACAUGCAGGUUGCCCUGGAUUUGGUGGAGUGGUUUUUUGUUUUAAUUCAACUUCAUAUUUUUUAUCGACUAUUUUUUUAUAUAAUUAAAAAAAUUAAUUUGAGACAAAAAUCAUGUUAGUUAAAAACAAUUUUAUUGUUGUAUAAUUAUUAUUUUUUUGUAAAACUUCGAUGUUAGGAGAUUAAAUAUUUUAAUAUGUGUCUUUCUCUUAAUUUAACAACUUGAUAUUUGGUUGGCCUUAACAAUUUGUUUUUAACAUCUAUUGACAUGUAUAAUUCUUGAUUUUUUUAUUAAAUACACGCAUGAAAUUUUCAGUUCGUAUUUAAAUUUUUGUUAUGGUAAAAAAAAUGCAUCAACAAUAGUUGUAUUUAUUUUUUUUUGUGUUGAAAAAAACACUUUUAAAGCCUGUUUGUUUUUGCAUUUUAAAUUUUUUUCAAAAAAAUAUGAUUUUUUUUCUUUGUUUUAAUUUUUUUUUUAUAUUUUCGGAUUGUUUUAAUGUAAUGAUAUCAAAAACAAAUUUUAAAAAAUAAAAAAUAAUAUUUUCAUAUAUUUUUAAAUAAAAAAUAUUUUACAAAACAACAACCACUAUUUCAUAACAAUAUUAAUCCAGUCCAAGGGAAAGCACGAGUACUGUGACUAGCACGAGUACUCAACCUAAAUAUGCAAGGAAAAUUGGAGAUUCCUCUAAAAGGAUAAACAACCAGCAUUUCACAUAUCAGCUGCCUGUUAAUUUGGUGCGUUUCAUCACAGCUUGGUGUAUUUUUUAAAUAUCUUAUUUAUAGUUUUGCUAAAGGUCUCCAUCAGAUUUUAUUAAAAAGAAUUAUUCCAUUGACCGAAUUUUAAUUUCCCUUUAUUAAAUUAUUAUUGAAACUCCCUCUAUUUUUUCCUAUUUCAUAAUUGAUAUGCAUUGCAAGCGACCAAUUACUCCAUGAUUGAAGUUUUUAAGUUUCUUCACUUCUAACAAAAUUGAGUUUGUUAAUAAUAUGCAUAAAAGUAAUACAUACAAAUCAAUGCUAUAUAUAACAUAGUUUUAAAACCCCUUACAGGUCUGUACUCGAUUGAUUUUGGGAUCAAAACUAGGUCAAUUUUUUUUUAAAAAAAGUUAAAAUUUGGGUGACUUAGUGGUUUGAUCCAAUAAUAUCCAAUCAAAAACCCCAUUACAAUUCGCUGACUAUAAUUUUUUUAACCAAAACAAUGCCGUUAUGAUUUAUAAAUAAAUAAAUAAUUUUGGAGUCGACCCGGGAUGACUCUAUAACCCGAUCAAAACAUGUGAUCACGGUCUUGGGCUGGAUCCACUACCGGGCCAAAUUUAAAAACUUGCUAUACACACAAACAAAUAAUAUAAAAUUAUUUAUUGUAUCAUUUAAUAUUUAUAAAAUUACAUAAACAUCUAUUUGUAUGAAGCUUUAGUAUAUUUUAUUUAUAUGCAUAGCAUAUUUCAUAAAUAAACCCUAACAAGUGAUGAAUGAUGCUAUAUUAGUGAUUUACUUGUCUCGUAAUCAUUGCAUCAAAUUUUUUACCAAGGCUUUAAGUAUUAUUAAGAAUACAAUUAAAAGGUACGGGGGGAAUACUAUUUUUCCACAUUCUUUAUCACUGUAAAUUACAAAUAGUAAUUCAUAGUUUUUUGUGUGCAUUUUAACCCCUUUUUUCCCCUUUGAUUAUUAUUAUUAUUUAAUUUAUUUUUUAUACGACGUGUUUAUGGAGAUUUAAAGUUGAUAAUUUAUUUUAAUUUAUUUUUUAUAUAGUUAUCAUGGUAUUAAAAAAAUAUCUCAUCAUCAAGUUGAUAUCAGAAAAAUAUCACAAUAUCAUGGUAUAGUCUAUUUUUAAAAAAAGUUUAGUUAAACAAAAAAUGAUAUAAAAAAAACUAAGUUAUUAAACUUUAUAAAGUCAAUAACCCGAUUUGCGAGUUUGGUGAGGUAACUUUGGUUGCCUUGGUUCACGAGUUUUGUGGGGGUACAUUUUCUAUUUGUAUAGUGUUAUAUUGCUUAUGAGGUCGAAAUGUUUUUUCCUACCACAAUUACCAUUUAGUAUUAUAACUAGAUUAUUGACCCGCGCUGCAUUAUGGGUCGAGUCAAAUUUUUCUUGACUGUGAAAAAAUAUACAGAUGUUGCUAACAUAUUUUUUUAGUAAAAAAAAUUAAACUAAGUGGGGUUGACUUAACAUGACCCAGUUGACUUUGCAGGUUCAAAAAUAACUUGGAUGAGCUGUAAAAACAUAAUUUGACUAAAAAAAAUCUAAACAUGACAUCUUUUUUUAAUAUUAAGAUAACAACAUAGUUGAUUGAUUUGGGUCAAUCUGGAUUAACAUGUCAAAUAUACGACUCGGGUUAUAAUAAGACUAUGAUAACCGUAUAGAAAGCAAAUCAAAAUAAAUUAUGAAGUCUAAUUCCCAAUUAACCUAAUAUCGAAGGAUGAAAUCGAAAAAAAAUCAACUAAAAACAAGAUCUAAAAAAGUGAGCUGAGUUAACUUGUCAAAUUCGUUACCUGAGUCAUAAGACCGAGAUAACCUUAUAAAAAACAAAUCGAAACAAAUUAUGAAGUCCAAUCCCUAAUCACCUCAAUGCUGAAGGAUAAGAUUAAAAAAAAUCAAUUAAAAAAAUAUAAAGAACAACUUGAGUUAAUCCGCCAAACCCAUGUUUAGGGUCAUGAGACUGGAAUAACCUCAUCAAAAGAAAAAACAAAAGACCUGAUUUAACUCGGUUUAACCUACCAAAUUCGUGAAUCUGGUCAUGAAACUGAGAUAAUUUCAUAGAGAACAAAUCAAAAUAAUUCAUAAAGCUCAAUUCCUAAUCAACCCUGUCAAACCCAAUGUUGAACAAUAAAAUUUGUAAAAAAUCUAAUUAAAAAAUAAUACAAAAAUAAGUCAAGUCAACUCGAGUUAACCUGUGAAGCACCAUUUUUAGGUCAUGAGGCUGAAAUAAUCUAAUAAAAAGCAAACCAUAAUAAGUCAUGAAACCUAAUUAUCAAUCAAACACAAUAUUGAAUGAUAAAAUUAACAAAAAAAAUCAAUUAAAAAAAUCGAAUCAAUUAGGUUAAACUGCCAAACUCUUUCGAAGAUGACAAGGCGUUGGUUGCAAAGAUGACAAAUCAUUGUCGUUGAUUAGGAAAAUGCAUUUAACUAGACCACCAUUCAGAUGCCACAUUGUUUUCAAAGCAAAACCGAUGUUAUGUGGUUUUGGGCGUCCCUGAGUGUACUAGAGAUUGUUUUUCAAAGUAUUUUUUUAUAAGUUUAUUAAAAUAAUAUUUUAUUUAUUUAUUUAUUUAUUACAUCAAUACAUCAAAACGAUACAAAAAUAAAAAAAAUAAUUUGAAGCUAAAACAAUAUUUUUUUUUCAAAAACACGAUCAAACCGCAAUUCCAAACAACCCCCAAAUCUUUCCAAAACGGGCCACUUUGAUGGCUCAACGUGUUGUCAAAUUUUGUUUUAGGCUAAAACUAAAGUCAUUAAAUCAUGUAGGUGACAUCUUCAGAUAGAUGCUUUUUUUUUUAUAGGUGACAUCUUCAGCUCAGCACACUUCUUCUGAAGAAAGAAUUUGCCAAAAGUGCAACAAUCGUUAGGACCCAACAUUGCCUCCUCGCACACAGAGCACAUAACUCCUUCACCAUGAUAUUCUUGCUCUUCAUUCAUAAUCAAUGGAUGAUCUAUGUGGGCAAGUUGAGGUGCCUGAUUAUCAACUUUAAAUAAACACGGUAUAAAAUCUUCUGCAUAUUUUGCAGGGCAUAAAUUGAAAAGGUGUUCAUUUCACAUGACAAUUUAAUUAGUCCAAUUUCCUCUUAAACAAGGAAUUCUUUCAAAUCUCAAAAUCAUACUCACAUAUGCUAUUCUUACAAGCAGCGUAUACACUCAAAGUUGUGUUCAUUUCACUUUAAAAAAGGUGCUCUCAAAGAUGGAAAACCUUUCAAUCUAAUAAUCACCCAUAUGCCAUUGAAAUAGAGAUUAAGGAUUUUCUUGGAAUAGAAAUUGCUUUGUCAAAGAAGGGGAUCGUUAUAUCCCAACAACAGUGUGUCCUUGAUGUUCUUAAGGAGACUGGGAUGAGUGGAUGUAGGCUAGCAGACACUCCAAUAGAUCCCAAUCAAAAACUUAAAGAUGACAAGGAAGGUGAACAAAAGUUAGUGGGAGAGUUGAUUUACUUAUCAAAUACAUGAUCUAAUAUUGCAUUUGUUGUGAGUUCAGUAUGCUAGUUUAUGCAUUCACCACACGCAAAACAUCUUGAAGCAGUUUAUCGAAUUCUCAUAUACUUGAAAAGCACACCAGACAAGCGGAGAUAAUAGAAGCAUACACUGAUGCAGAUUGGGCGGGUUCAGUCAUUGAUAGAAGAUCCACAUUAGAAUAUUGUACUUAAGUUUGAGGAAAUAUAGUUACAUGGCAAAGGAAGAAACAAAAUGUGGUUGCAAGAAGCAGUGCUGAGGUAGAAUAUAGGAAGAGAAUUCUUGAAGAAACUGUGAAUGCCUGUGAAUAUUUCAACAUUAACCAAGCUCCCGUUUCUUGUUUUUCUAGCCUAGAGAUCCAAUCCAACAUUAACCAAGUCCACAUUAGAAUAUUUGUUUUUCCGCUGAUAAAAAAUAAGAAUUCGUUAGUUUCCACAUUUACUAGAUAGAUACACUACUACAUAUGAGAGUGACACGUGCGACACUAAUAAUCACAUGUAUGCCAUUGAAAUAGAGAUUAAGGAUUUAAGGUCUGUCGGGUAUUUUCUUGGAAUAGAGAUUGCUCUGUCAAAGAAGGGGAUCGUUAUAUCCCAACAGAAGUGUGUCCUUGAUCUUCUUAAGGAGACUGGGAUGAGUGGUUGUAGCAUAACAGACAGAUCCCAAUCAGAAACUUGAAGAUGACAAGGAAGGUGAUCCAGUGUGAGUACAACACAGUAUCAAAAGUUAGUGGGAAAGCUGAUUUACUUAUCACAAACAUGAUCUAAUAUUGCAUUUUGUGGCCUUUCUAAUUUGGUGAUCUCCUCUACUAUUUAUCUUGUAAUCAUAUCUAUUGAAUGAAUAAGAAAUAAAAUUCUUCUUCUUCUUCCAAAAACCUACACACACAACACAGUAAUAGAAGAAGAAGAAGAAGAAGAAGAAGAAGAAGAAGAAGAAUUCAUGGAUUCGUGCAUCGGUAAGUCUGAAAGUCAUGUGUAAACGCCCAUUACCUUGAUAUAUGGGUAUUUCCUGAGAGCACAUUCUGGAUGAGCAUCAAAGUCGCAUUUCUCACAACGGUAGAACCAGAGCUUUAUGAUUUUCACAAAUUUGACAGACAAAUUGGUAGUCAUUUGGAUCAUUACAAGUGAGAAAGAGAGGAUGAUCAUCGUACAUGUGUCUAGCUUUACAUGGCAGGCUAACCCAUUGAUUACAUGUUGUUUUUAUAAAUGUUUUUUUAUUUAAAAAUAUAUUAAAAUAAUAUUUUUUUUAUUUUUUUAAAAUUAUUUUUAAUAUUACCAUAUAUUUGAAAAUAUAUAAAAAUUUAAUUUAUAAUAAAAAAAUAAAAAUAAAAAUUAUUGAAAAAAAUAUUUUUAAAACAUAAAAGUAUAUAAGCUUUUAAUACCAAAAAUAAUAAGAAUGUUGCUAGUAGUAUGCAAAUGUUGGAGAUUUUUAAUUAAAUAUCUAUGAAAUUAAAGCGAAAAUAAUUUGAUAGCAAUUUGAAUUCGAGACAAGAUUGAUAUAUUUUUUAAAUUAACAGUCUUGUAAAGGGUAUGAAGCUAGAUGUAUCCAUCCAUUCACCCCAACAAUCAUAACCCAAAAAUAAGAAAAAAGCCAUCAACUGCAAUCCAAUUACCAUAUUAAUGACUGAAAGCAUUGCCGUCUUUCCUUGUGGACGAUAAAACUGCAGUUAGGAUCAGUACAUUCAAGGGCCAAGUCGUCGCAAGGCUCACCACAAGUAUCGCAUGCCUGUGGACGAUAAUCCUCUGUCUUGACGACCAAAACAAGAGGGUGAGGGUGUUUAGGAUACGUGUGAACCCCCCCUGGCUUGACAUAUGGGUAUUUCCCGAGAGCACACUCUGGAUGAGCAUCGAAGUCGCAUUUCUCGCAACGGUAGAACCAGAGCUUUGGGUCUCUAUCUUCUUCACAAAUUAUACAGGAAGGUUGGUAGUCAUUUUCAUUAAUGUAGGUGAGGAAGAGAGGAUGGUCAUCAUACUCGUGUCUUGCUUUGUAUGGCAGUGUAGCACAUUUCAUACCCAGCUUGAAAUCGCAAACCACACAUUUAAAAAACACCUUCGAUUCUUCACUGACACAACAGCCACUGCAAUGGGGAAUAUU
rnacentral:lncRNA from 1 species